rnacentral:rRNA from 1 species
AACGAACGCUGGCGGCAGGCUUAACACAUGCAAGUCGAACGCCCCGCAAGGGGAGUGGCAGACGGGUGAGUAACGCGUGGGAAUCUACCCAUCUCUACGGAAUAACUCAGGGAAACUUGUGCUAAUACCGUAUACGCCCUUUGGGGGAAAGAUUUAUCGGAGAUGGAUGAGCCCGCGUUGGAUUAGCUAGUUGGUGGGGUAAAGGCCUACCAAGGCGACGAUCCAUAGCUGGUCUGAGAGGAUGAUCAGCCACAUUGGGACUGAGACACGGCCCAAACUCCUACGGGAGGCAGCAGUGGGGAAUAUUGGACAAUGGGCGCAAGCCUGAUCCAGCCAUGCCGCGUGAGUGAUGAAGGCCCUAGGGUUGUAAAGCUCUUUCACCGAUGAAGAUAAUGACUGUAGUCGGAGAAGAAGCCCCGGCUAACUUCGUGCCAGCCGCCGCCGUAACAC